GACGAACGCUGGCGGCGUGCUUAACACAUGCAAGUCGAACGGUAAGGCCCUUCGGGGUACACGAGUGGCGAACGGGUGAGUAACACGUGGGUGAUCUGCUCUGCACUUCGGGAUAAGCCUGGGAGACUGGGUCUAAUACCGGAUAGGACCACUGCCUGCAUGGGUGGUGGUGGAAAGCUUUUGCGGUGUGGGAUGGGCCCGCGGCCUAUCAGCUUGUUGGUGGGGUGAUGGCCUACCAAGGCGACGACGGGUAGCCGGCCUGAGAGGGUGACCGGCCACACUGGGACUGAGAUACGGCCCAGACUCCUACGGGAGGCGGCAGGGGGGAAUAUUGCACAAUGGGCGCAAGCCUGAUGCAGCGACGCCGCGUGAGGGAUGACGGCCUUCGGGUUGUAAACCUCUUUCAGCACCGACGAAGCGCAAGUGACGGUAGGUGCAGAAGAAGGACCGGCCAACUACGUGCCAGCAGCCGCAGUAA
rnacentral:rRNA from 1 species